CCCGCUGAACUUAAGCAUAUCAAUAAGCGGAGGAAAAGAAACCAACAGGGAUUGCCUCAGUAACGGCGAGUGAAGCGGCAACAGCUCAAAUUUGAAAUCUGGCUCUUUCAGGGUCCGAGUUGUAAUUUGUAGAAGAUGCUUUGGGUGUGGCUCCGGUCUAAGUUCCUUGGAACAGGACGUCAUAGAGGGUGAGAAUCCCGUACGUGACUGGGUGCCUUCGCUCGUGUAAAGCUCUUUCGACGAGUCGAGUUGUUUGGGAAUGCAGCUCAAAAUGGGUGGUAAAUUUCAUCUAAAGCUAAAUAUUGGCCAGAGACCGAUAGCGCACAAGUAGAGUGAUCGAAAGAUGAAAAGCACUUUGGAAAGAGAGUUAAACAGUACGUGAAAUUGUUGAAAGGGAAGCGCUUGCAACCAGACUUGCGCGCUGUUGAUCAUCCGAGCUUUUGCCCGGUGCACUCGGCAGCGCUCAGGCCAGCAUCGGUUUUGGUGGGCGGAUAAAGGCCUUGGGAAUGUAGCUCUCUUCGGGGAGUGUUAUAGCCCUCGGUGCAAUGCGCCCUACCGGGACCGAGGACCGCGCUUCGGUCUAGGAUGCUGGCGUAAUGGCUUUAAACGACCCGUCUUGAAACAC
rnacentral:rRNA from 1 species